rnacentral:rRNA from 1 species
AUUGAACGCUGGCGGCAUGCCUUACACAUGCAAGUCGAACGCGAAAGCGGGGCAACCCGCAAGUAGAGUGGCGAACGGGUGAGUAAUGCAUCGGAACAUUUCCAGUAGCGGGGGAUAACCUGUCGAAAGAUAGGCUAAUACCGCAUACGCCCCACGGGGGAAAGCGGAGGACCGCAAGGCUUCGCACUAUUGGAGUGGCCGAUGCCGGAUUAGCUAGUUGGCGGGGUAAAAGCCCACCAAGGCUACGAUCCGUAGCUGGUCUGAGAGGACGAUCAGCCACACUGGAACUGAGACACGGUCCAGACUCCUACGGGAGGCAGCAGUGGGGAAUUUUGGACAAUGGGCGCAAGCCUGAUCCAGCCAUGCCGCGUGAGUGAAGAAGGCCUUCGGGUUGUAAAGCUCUUUCGGUGGGGACGAAAUGGUUCGUGCUAAUACCACGGACUGAUGACGGUACCCGAAGAAGAAGCACCGGCUAACUACGUGCCAGCCGCCGCGGUAA